rnacentral:sRNA from 1 species
AGUUGCAGGCGAAGGGGGCUGAGGGAAGGAGGUGGGUUCAGGUAGGGGAAGUAGGGGUGCCACCAGACGGAGACAGCUCGGACAACCAGGCUUUUAAGAACUGCUAUUGUUGACUUCUUCACAGAAUCAAGCACUCUUUUGGAAGAGGGUAAUCUCCCUCCAAAAACUGAGGACACUUACCUUCCCCGUAUAUUGAGUCCAGCUGUGUUUGGUGGCCCAGGUACUAAUUUCAAGAUGCCAGGACGUUCCAGUUCAAAUUCAGGUUCAACUGGUUUCAUCUCCUUCAGUGGUGUAGAGUCUGCUCUCUCCUCCUUGAAAAACUUCCAAGCCUGUAUCAACUCUGGUAUGGACACAGCUUCUAGUGUUGCUUUGGAUCUUGUGGAAAGUCGGACUGAAGUGAGUAGUGAAUAUAGUAUGGACAAGGCAAUGGUUGAAUUUGCUACAAUGGAUCGGCAACUAAACCAUUAUGUAAAGGCUGUUCAAUCUACAAUAAAUCAUGUAAGUUUAUGCCACUCCGUGGUUAUAUAUUUGGUUACAACUCACUGACCGAGAAGUAGAAACACAAAAUCAAAAUUCUUCCCUAAUCUUUA